GAACAAAUAGAGAGAAGAAAAUUUGAUUAACAUUUUUUUUUGCUAGCCAUUUCAUUGAACUAUUCAAGUGAUAAUCGACACAAUUGGAGCAAUUUAAAUUGGACAAUUGGACAAAAGACAGUAAAAACUAAACGAAAUCAAUUGUUUCAAUUGUUUCAACUAAUAACUUUAAACAAUUGAAAUGUUCAAAUUGAAGUUAUCAAUUGUUUCCAGAGACAAAUUCCAGAGUUGAACUGAAAAUUGUGUAAAAAGUGAAAAGCAAUUGGAAUGAAAGGGAAUUGGAAAAGGAAACAAAAACUAAAUACAUUGAGUUGAUUAUUUCAAUUACAAACGUUAAUUGAAAGAUUUACCUCAAUUACCAGUCUUAUAAUAUAUUGACAAUUAACAAGUGAACAGCAAAAGGUUAAUAACAUUGACCCAUCAAACAGUUUUUUGUUUUACUGUUGCAACUAAUUACUUCUCAGUUUACAAUUGGUAAGACUUUACAAUUGUUGAAUACAAUGGAGAGAUGAAAGUUAAAUUGAAAAGAUAAUCAAAGAUGAUUGGAAAGAAAAGCUGCUGAUGGAGAAUCAAUCAUGAAAAUUGUUGGAAACAGGAAUAAGAAGGUGAAAAAAGAAGAAGAAGAAGCAAGAUGAAAGAGUAAAAAUUUGUAAUCAUUUACUCUGGAAAUGGAAUGAGAAAAGAUUCAUUAUUCUUUCGACUCCCUGCCGAGGUUUGAACUGAAGGCUGAGCGUUUUCAUCAGUUUCCCUGGUUUAACCCUUGAUUUCUUUCUCAUUCACUUUCAACUUUUACAGGAUAACAGAAAAUGAUUGAAUCUAGAAAUGGGUAAAACAAGUUGAUAAAGGUUAAGGUAAAGGAGGCAAAAAAGGUUGAUCAACAUUUUCAUCAUUUCAAUUGAGCUCAAAUUUACUAAGAUAAAAGAGCUUUUCCAGAGUAAAGUAAGUUGUUUUGAUUGUGAUUUUGGAAUCAACUUGGAACGUUUGAGAAAGGAAUUUAUUUGGAAAGCUUUUGAAAGGUUGAAUUGGGCGGAUUGGAUAAGAAAAUAAUGAAUCCUCAGAAUGUUGAUGAUGCGUAUUGAUUGGAGUUUGUUUUUUUCUUUCUCUCCUUUUCUUCAUUUUGUUUUUCUUCUUCUUAUUAUUCUUAUUCUUUCUUCUCAUCAGACAGUCCCAGGGAUUCCUUUGGAUAUGGAACACCAAUGAGAAUUAUAUUGAGAGGUAUAAAAGGGAAGAAGCAUGAAAAGAAAUUGAAGGUUAAAGGUAAAAAGUAAGUUGGAAAAAAGCAUCGAUUUUGGGAGGGCAAAGUGAGGUUAUAAAAACUCUUUUUAUUCCGUUUUCCAUUCCAUUCCUUUUCAGUCAACUUUAUCUAUUUCAUUCACUUUUCUUUAUCCAAACUUCCUUUUCAUCAUCCUUCUUCAUCUUCGUCCUUUUCUCUUCUCAUUCCAAUUUCUUUUUCAGUCUUUUCAUUUUCUACUCGCUUUCACAGUCGAUUUAUGAUACUUUUUUGUUUCUCUUUACAACCUUUUCCAUUUCACUUCUUCCACAACAAUCCAAGUCCAUUGAUGAUCGCUUGAUUAAAGUGACCUCUUGAUCAACAUUCAUUACAUUAACUGCUUUAAUUGUUCAACUUUUCAUCUCUUUUCAAUCAAAGUUGACUUUUUUUAUGUCUAGUGAUUGGCUUUUUGGUUUCUGAAAAGUACUUUUGAUUAUUCAAAUUUACUAGCAAUUUUAGUUUGUUGGUUCGCUCAAGAUUGAUUGGUUGAUUAUCAUGAAAUUAUCUUGCAUUUGAAACACUUUAUUUCACUCUGUAUUAAACCAUUAAACCUUUACUCUUUACCCUCUUCUUUUUAUUGGGAUAAAUGGUUUCUUAAUCAUGCUCAUCUCUUUUUAUCUUCAUCAUUUCAAUUCUGUCUUUUCUUUGUUUUUUGCUCUACUUAAUCCUUAAUUGAAGGUUCAUUAUUUAACCUGAUUCUCCUCAUUUAUUUCAUUUCAUUAUCAUUAACUCUCCCUUUUACUUUUCCUCUCUUUACCAGUUAUUAUUGGCAGCAAAAAAACAAGAGAUGAAACAAUUGAACGGCGAGUGAAAGCAGCUCAGUUCACAGCUGUAAGGGUGAAAUGAAUCAAGGACAAUUGGAAUAACCAUUAAUCGUUACCUCUCAAACGAGUAAUGAUAAACUUGAUCCAUUAUUACCAGAUUGAUGGAAUAUCGUUCAAGUUGUUCAGUUCAAUAUUUCAAUUGCUUUAUUGACAAUUUCAACCCCAUUUGAUUGAUAAAAUCAGAUUGUGAUAUGAAAUUCGCGAUUCUUGCCAUUGUAGGAGCAACGAAAUUAACGGCAGAAUCGAGUGACCAAUGACUUUGAACAAAAUAUAAUAUUUUUCAGACUUUCAUUAAGUCAAAUUUUUUAAUCCAAGUUUGUCUUGACUGAAAACAUAAUGAAAAACUGGGUAAAAUAUCUAACUUGAGAACUUGGAUUGACUUAUCUCACACAUCUGGACGUCAAAUGACCGAGCUUUUCGUUCUUUUUGAAAUAUGGAAAAAUAAAGAUGACAACAUUAUUUCAACAUUCAGAAGACUUUGCGGAAUCGCGUUCCAAAAAUUAAAAAAUCCAUUAAAGGACGGAUAUAAGUUUCGCAUCCAGCUGGUCGAGUUUCUUGCUGAAACUCAUUUUACUAAUAGAACUGGCAGAGCUAAGUUGGAUAACAAUAUUAAUUAUGCGUGGUAAUGAAGCACAACAGGAAAAUUGAAAUUCUGUUGAAAUAUCUUUGUUAAGAAAAGGUGGCCUUGCUUAGACGCACAAUGUCAGAAUAGCAUUUAGACAAAAUGGUCAACAUUAAGGAAGUUUACGUUCAAAGGCAUUAAUAUCACCGAAAUCUGUUGUAUGGCCAGUUUAUCAAGAAACUUUACGUAACUGACACGCAAAUCUAGUCAAACCUCUGACCAUCUUAUAACUAGAACAACAAUCAAUGUGAUUAUUUGCAAGUGUACGAUGGACUAUUCAAUCAAAAUAAACUCGUCUUCGAAACGCAUACCUUAGAGAACUACAAACAUUUAAUAAUAUCAACGGUGUUAUCUAGUUUAUUUGAGGACCUUAUCAAAAAAUCUUGAACAAACUUAAAAAUAAGAAAUACAGAGAUCAAUGAACCUAGUAUGUGGAACCUAGUAGUACCUGAUAUGACGUUUAUCUUGUGUUGCUUGACUAUCCACCAGAUUUCAAGUUGAAUCUGAAUAAAUUGUGUUUCUAAGAUUAACCUUGAAAGGAACCAAUUAAAUUUGAACCUGACAUUGGCCAUGAAUUAAAACUCAGCAAAUCAACCUACAAUUUGACAAACUGAAAUUCAUUAUCUAUUCAAAUGAAAAGAAAAUUUCAAGUUAAACUGAGACAAAAGUUAACUAAUUAACUAAGGUAAACAGAGAGUGAUUCUUCAUUUCCAAUUUCCUGAUUUAUUAACAUGAUGCAAAAUGAAUGUUCACAGAUCAUUGAAAUUCUUCUCGUGGAAAAGAAAAGCCCAACAGAUCAAUAACGAAAACUUUUACCAUUAACAGUUCAACUAAUACCCUCACAAGCAGUUUCAUCAUUAUCGUGAUUACAUUUUCAAGUUUUCACAGAAACAGAAGACAAGUUUUCCUCUCCAUUUUCUUCUACUUUACAGUGUUGCGUUGACAGAAGAGGCCAAGAAAAAUGUACAACUAUAUUAAACAUGAUGAUGAAUGAUGGUUCCAAUAAUGGUCAAUCCAUCCAUCAAAAAAGGACAAAAAAACUAGUCCCAAAAAAAAGAGAAAGUAAAACAAACUUUUUUCCUCUAAUCAAAUGAUUAUGCAUACAACUUACAACAUGUAAAGAAGGCAAAGUUAGGUGACGAGCAAGAAUGAAAGUCAAAGCAAAGAUGUAUCUUACUGAUUCACUUUUUGAUGAAUUACUUAAUCGCCAUGAACCCAGGCGAAGAUUAAACAUUUUUUCAUCGACUUGGAGUUAACCAAACUGGAUCAAUUGGACAUUUUUUCAUAGCAACAUUUUCCUUCUAAUCUGACUUGCUUUUCUGGAUAAUCAUAGUCACAAGCCAGUUGAGCUUAUCAACAUUAUCAUUAUUACCGCUAUUAUGAUUCCCUGCAUCAGUCAACAUCACUCUUGAUCAAUGUAAAAGCUUUCAUUAUGAGUGCAAUUAUUUUUUAUCAUUGUAAUAAUAUUGUAACAUCUAAAUAAAGGCAAUGAUAUUGUUUUUAGAGUUGAACCAUUUUCUUGGUCUUCUUUACCUUCGGUGAAACAAAAGCCAAUAAAUGGCAUAAUUGUAACCAAGUCUUCGAUUACAGGGAAUGAUAACUAUCCAUUGAUUGACAGCUAAUGAAUGUUUAUUGAUUAAUCAGUGAAUAAUGACUGGAUAACAAGGUAUCCAUUGUUGAUUGAAUGAAUAAUUUAAUAACAAUGACAUUAACAGAACAUUUGACUGAAAGUCUUUUUUUCUCAUCUUCUGUUUUCUUUAACCUUCUUUUCCGAUUUUACUAUUUGAUUUUGAUUUCUUUUGUAAUUCAAUUGAUUAACUCUCUAUUUUCACGGCUUUUCAAAUAAUCGCAACUUUUUGCUCCUUUUUUUCCUUCUAGUUUCCUCCUCUGUAUACAGAACUUUUCUUUUCAUGAUUAUUACUCUCUUUGUUGGUUUUUGUCUUCAGACUCUUUUCCUGCCUUGUAACUAAUCAAUGAAAAAGUAUUAGUUGAGAUGAAAAGAAUUGCUCAAAACAUUGAAACUCGCCUAGUUCAUCAUGAUCAACUUGAUGAUGUACAAAAGUGUGAGUUGAUAA